GAGCUUUAGCUCAAUUGGUUAGAGCAGCGGACUCAUAACCCGCGGGUUCCGGGUUCAAGUCCCGGAGGCUCC
rnacentral:tRNA from 2 species